rnacentral:rRNA from 1 species
GACGAACGCUGGCGGCGUGCUUAACACAUGCAAGUCGAACGGUAAGGCCCUUCGGGGUACACGAGUGGCGAACGGGUGAGUAACACGUGGGUGAUCUGCCCUGCACUUCGGGAUAAGCCUGGGAAACUGGGUCUAAUACCGGAUAGGACCACUGCCUGCAUGGGUGGUGGUGGAAAGCUUUUGCGGUGUGGGAUGGGCCCGCGGCCUAUCAGAUUGUGGGGGGGGUGAUGGCCUACCAAGGGGACGACGGGUAGCCGGCCUGAGAGGGUGACCGGCCACACGGGGACUGAGAUACGGCCCAGACUCCUACGGGAGGCAGCAGUGGGGAAUAUUGCACAAUGGGCGCAAGCCUGAUGCAGCGACGCCGCGUGAGGGAUGACGGCCUUCGGGUUGUAAACCUCUUUCAGCACCGACGAAGCGCAAGUGACGGUAGGUGCAGAAGAAGGACUGGCCAACUACGUGCCAGCCGCCGCGGUAA